rnacentral:piRNA from 1 species
UUGUUGGAAUUGUUUAUUAAUAAUGCAAAU